CUACGGGGGGUUCCAGUGGGGAAUAUUGGACAAUGGGCGCAAGCCUGAUCCAGCAAUGCCGCGUGAGUGAAGACGGCCUUAGGGUUGUAAAACUCUUUCGCUAGGGAAGAUAAUGACUGUACCUAGUAAAGAAGUCCCGGCUAACUCCGUGCCAGCAGCCGCGGUAAUACGGAGGGGACUAGCGUUGUUCGGAAUUACUGGGCGUAAAGAGUUCGUAGGCGGACUGAAAUGUUAGAGGUGAAAUCCCAGGGCUCAACCCUGGAACUGCCUUUAAAACUGUCAGUCUAGAGACCGGAAGAGGUUAGGGGAAUACCUAGUGUAGAGGUGAAAUUCGUAGAUAUUAGGUGGAACACCAGUGGCGAAGGCGCCUAACUGGUCCGGUACUGACGCUGAGGAACGAAAGCGUGGGGAGCAAACAGGAUUAGAUACCCCGGUAGUC
rnacentral:rRNA from 1 species